rnacentral:rRNA from 1 species
UACGGGGGGGGCAAGCGUUGCUCGGAAUCACUGGGCGUAAAGCGCACGUAGGCGGAUUGUUAAGUCAGGGGUGAAAUCCUGGAGCUCAACUCCAGAACUGCCUUUGAUACUGGCGAUCUUGAGUCCGGGAGAGGUGAGUGGAACUGCGAGUGUAGAGGUGAAAUUCGUAGAUAUUCGCAAGAACACCAGUGGCGAAGGCGGCUCACUGGCCCGGUACUGACGCUGAGGUGCGAAAGCGUGGGGAGCAAACAGG